rnacentral:rRNA from 1 species
AUUGAACGCUGGCGGCAGGCCUAACACAUGCAAGUCGAGCGAGCGGCGGACGGGUGAGUAAUGUAUGGGGACUGCACGAUAGAGGGGGAUAAAUACUGGAAAAGGUGGCUAAUACAGCAUACUGUAGGAUAACCCAUAUGGGAUUAGCUAGUAGGUAAGGUAAUGGCUUACCUAGGCGACGCUCCCUAGCUGGUCUGAGAGGAUGAACAGCCACACUGGGACUGAGACACGGCCCAGAUUCCUACGGAGGCAGCAGUGGGGAAUAUUGCACAAUGGGCGAAAGCCUGAUACAGCCAUGCCGCGUGUAUGAAGAAGGCCCUAGGGUUGUAAAGUACUUUCAGUCGGGAGGCGUUACCGACAGAAGAAGCACCGGCUAACUCCGUGCCAGCAGCCGCGGUAAUAC